rnacentral:rRNA from 1 species
GACGAACGCUGGCGGCGUGCUUAACACAUGCAAGUCGAGCGGUAAGGCCUUUCGGGGUACCCGAGCGGCGAACGGGUGAGUAACACGUGGGUGAUCUGCCCUGCACUUCGGGAUAAGCCUGGGAAACUGGGUCUAAUACCGGAUAUGACCUCCUAUCGCAUGGUGGGUGGUGGAAAGAUUUAUCGGUGCAGGAUGGGCCCGCGGCCUAUCAGCUUGUUGGUGGGGUAAUGGCCUACCAAGGCGACGACGGGUAGCCGACCUGAGAGGGUGACCGGCCACACUGGGACUGAGACACGGCCCAGACUCCGACGGGAGGCAGCAGUGGGGAAUAUUGCACAAUGGGCGAAAGCCUGAUGCAGCGACGCCGCGUGAGGGAUGACGGCCUUCGGGUUGUAAACCUCUUUCAGCAGGGACGAAGCGCAAGUGACGGUACCUGCAGAAGAAGCACCGGCUAACUACGUG